AUUGAACGCUGGCGGCAGGCCUAACACAUGCAAGUCGAGCGGAGCGGCGGACGGGUGCGUAAUGCCUAGGUAUCUGCCUGGUAGUGGGGGAUAACGUCCGGAAACGGGCGCUAAUACCGAAUACUAUCACAUGAGGCUAGGUCGGAUUCGCUAGGUGGUGGGGUAAAGGCCUACAAAGGCGACGAUCAGUAACUGGUCUGAGAGGAUGAUCAGUCACACUGGAACUGAGACACGGUGCAGACUCCUACGGGAGGCAGCAGGGGGGAAUAUUGGACAAUGGGCGAAAGCCUGAUCCAGCCAUGCCGCGUGUGUGAAGAAGGUCUUCGGAUUGUAAAGCACUUUAAGUUGGGAGGCGUUACCAACAGAAUAAGCACCGGCUAACUGCGUGCCAGCAGCCGCGGUAAUAC
rnacentral:rRNA from 1 species